CGGAGGAUCAUUACAGAGAACUUGCCCUUCGGGGUAGAUCUCCCACCCUUUGUUUACAUUACCCUUGUUGCUUUGGCAGGCCCGUCUCUCGGGACCGCCGGCUUCGGCUGGCCCGCGCCUGCCAGAGGAUCUCAAACUCUUGUUUAAUUGUCGUCUGAGUAAUAUUUAAUAAGUUAAAACUUUCAACAACGGAUCUCUUGGUUCUGGCAUCGAUGAAGAACGCAGCGAAAUGCGAUAAGUAAUGUGAAUUGCAGAAUUCAGUGAAUCAUCGAAUCUUUGAACGCACAUUGCGCCCUCUGGUAUUCCGGGGGGCAUGCCUGUUCGAGCGUCAUUACAACCCUCAAGCUCUGCUUGGUAUUGGGCGUCACCGCUUCGGUGCGCCUCAAAAUCAGUGGCGGUGCCAUCCGGCUUCAAGCGUAGUAAUUUUUCUCGCUCUGGGGACCCGGGUGCGUGCUUGCCAGCAACCCCCAAUUUAUCAAAGGUUGACCUCGGAUCAGGUAGGGAUACCCGCUGAACUUAAGCAUAUCAU
rnacentral:rRNA from 1 species